AACGAACGCUGGCGGCAGGCUUAACACAUGCAAGUCGAACGCCCCGCAAGGGGAGUGGCAGACGGGUGAGUAACGCGUGGGAAUCUACCCAUCCCUACGGAACAACUCCGGGAAACUGGAGCUAAUACCGUAUACGCCCUUUGGGGGAAAGAUUUAUCGGGGAUGGAUGAGCCCGCGUUGGAUUAGCUAGUUGGAGGGGUAAAGGCCUUCCAAGGCGACGAUCCAUAGCUGGUCUGAGAGGAUGAUCAGCCACAUUGGGACUGAGACACGGCCCAAACUCCUACGGGAGGCAGCAGUGGGGAAUAUUGGACAAUGGGCGCAAGCCUGAUCCAGCCAUGCCGCGUGAGUGAUGAAGGCCUUAGGGUUGUAAAGCUCUUUCACCGAUGAAGAUAAUGACGGUAGUCGGAGAAGAAGCCCCGGCUAACUUCGUGCCAGCCGCCGCCGUAAAAC
rnacentral:rRNA from 1 species